UACAGAGGUCUCAAGCGUUGUUCGGAUUCAUUGGGCGUAAAGGGUGCGUAGGUGGCGCGGUAAGUCGGGUGUGAAAUUUCGGAGCUUAACUCCGAAACUGCAUUCGAUACUGCCGUGCUUGAGGACUGGAGAGGAGACUGGAAUUUACGGUGUAGCAGUGAAAUGCGUAGAUAUCGUAAGGAAGACCAGUGGCGAAGGCGGGUCUCUGGGCAGUAACUGACGCUGAGGAGCGAAAGCGUGGGGAGCGAACAGG
rnacentral:rRNA from 1 species